rnacentral:rRNA from 1 species
AUUGAACGCUGGCGGCAUGCCUUACACAUGCAAGUCGAACGGUAACAGGUCUUCGGAUGCUGACGAGUGGCGAACGGGUGAGUAAUACAUCGGAACGUGCCUAGUAGUGGGGGAUAACUACUCGAAAGAGUGGCUAAUACCGCAUGAGAUCUACGGAUGAAAGCAGGGGAUCGCAAGACCUUGUGCUACUAGAGCGGCCGAUGGCAGAUUAGGUAGUUGGUGGGAUAAAAGCUUACCAAGCCGACGAUCUGUAGCUGGUCUGAGAGGACGAUCAGCCACACUGGGACUGAGACACGGCCCAGACUCCUACGGGAGGCAGCAGUGGGGAAUUUUGGACAAUGGGCGAAAGCCUGAUCCAGCAAUGCCGCGUGCAGGAUGAAGGCCUUCGGGUUGUAAACUGCUUUUGUACGGAACGAAAAGCCCCGGGUUAAUACCCUGGGGUCAUGACGGUACCGUAAGAAUAAGCACCGGCUAACUACGUGCCAGACGCCGCCGUAA